rnacentral:rRNA from 1 species
CCUACGGGCGGCUGCAGUGGGGGAUAUUGCACAAUGGGGGCAACCCUGAUGCAGCGACGCCGCGUGAGCGAUGGAGUACUUCGGUAUGUAAAGCUCUGUCAGCAGGGAAGAGAAUGACGGUACCUGACCAAGAAGCCCCGGCUAAAUGCGUUCCAGCAGCCGCGGGAAUACGUAUGGGGCAAGCGUUAUCCGGAUUUACUGGGUGUAAAGGUAGCGUAGGCGGCAGGGCAAGCCUGAGGUGAAAGCCCGGGGCUCAACCCCGGGACUGCAUUGGGAACUGACCCGCUCGAGGGCCGGAGGGGCAGGGGGAAUUCCUAGGGUAGCGGUGAAAUGCGUAGAUAUUAGGAGGAACACCAGUGGCGAAGGCGGCCUGCUGGACGGUGUACUGACGCUGAGGCUCGAAAGCGUGGGGAGCAAACAGGAUUAGAUACCCGAGUAGUC